rnacentral:rRNA from 1 species
GAUGAACGCUGGCGGCAUGCCUAACACAUGCAAGUCGAUCGGUAAGGCUCUUCGGAGUACCCGAGAGGCGGACGGCUGAGUAACGCGUAGGAACACACCCUGCAGUGAGGGAUAAGACACCGAAAGGUGUUCUAAUACCGCAUACGGUCUUCGGAUUAAAGCAUUUAUGCGCUGAAGGAGUGGCCUGCGUCAUAUUAGAUAGUUGGUGAGGUAAUGGCUCACCAAGUCGAUGAUGUGUAGCUGGUCUGAGAGGAUGAUCAGCCAGACUGGAACUGAGACACGGUCCAGACUCCUACGGGAGGCAGCAGUGAGGAAUAUUUCACAAUGAGCGAAAGGUUGAUGGAGCAAUGCCGCGUGCAGGAUGAAGGCCCUCGGGUUGUAAACUGCUUUUAUAAGAGAAGAUUAUGACGGUAACUUAUGAAUAAGGGACGGCUAACUACGUG